rnacentral:rRNA from 1 species
UACGGAGGGUGCAAGCGUUAUCCGGAUUUAUUGGGUUUAAAGGGUGCGUAGGCGGUGAUUUAAGUCAGUGGUGAAAUCCUGCAGCUCAACUGUAGAACAGCCAUUGAAACUGAAUUACUUGAGUAAUCUUGAGGUAGGCGGAAUGUGUAGUGUAGCGGUGAAAUGCUUAGAUAUUACACAGAACACCGAUUGCGAAGGCAGCUUACUAAGGAUUUACUGACGCUGAUGCACGAAAGCGUGGGGAUCAAACAGG